rnacentral:lncRNA from 1 species
AUUUAAGAGUGUGUAUCUUGCCUCUUAACAAUUAAACUACCGCAUAAACGUCUAAAAGGCAGGACCCCGAUAAUUCCGUGACGGCACACCUUGACCGUGAAGAACAAGACUGAUUCUAACAGACCCGCUUGAACGUGGUGCCCGUGAUCUUAACACCUUGGGAGGCCUCUAACGUUGCCUUUGCACCAACUGCUCCAGACUGGCCUUCAGAGACUACUUAAAACCUCAGGAAACUCUGCGAUUGAGGAGGGGAGGAGAGUCAGUGACAGCCUGAGUGACAUUAGGCCAACAGCUUUGUGGGAAGGAUUUGAAGGUGAGGAAACUAAAGCCCUGGGAUGUUUAGGGUUGCUGCCGAGCUGGGACGCGCACGCGGGCCUCCGGGUUCUAACACCCAUGAGCUUCACUGCCGCACCAUAGUGCCUGGAGCAGUUUCUGGAACGGGCUCAACAAAUGCUCCCACUUACGACUCUGGAAGAAGACAGACCUGGCAGCUGGGCAUCUCUGAAGAGCAGACAGAACACUUUCUGGAGAUGCCAGGACCCUGGGCUAGGUAGGUUAAAGGAGUGCCAGGCCCCCAACCCGUCUCUCCCUACAGAGCGGCACUGUCCACUAUGGUGGCCACUAAUCACAUAUAAUAUUUACAUUUAAAUUAAAAACAUUUUUUAAUUAAAAGAGAGCAC